UCAUCGUGACCAGUCCACAGGCGUGGAAUAAACUUCGGACUCAAGUGUGUGGUGGCGAGACAUGAGCCGCACACGCAGAGAGCUCGCGCACGCCAAACUCGUCAAGAUUCACAGCUGCAGACUUGAAUGCGGCUCCGGUGGCGUAUUGUGUGGAAGUCCAGAACCAGCCCACUCGCCGCCUCGCCGACACACUCCGAGCUAAUUGUGAGCCGGCCCACGCUGACCUCCGCUCACGGACGCCGAGAGUCACUGUGGUGACAGCGGAGUCCAACGAGGGCCGGUUCUGGUCCGGUUCUGUGACAUCACAGCAAAAAAUAAAUAGAAAAAUUGCAGCUCGCGUUGCCCGGGCAACCGCAAUUUGGCAAACCAGGGCUUGGCAAGGCGCGGCUCGCCUCCGUGGGGGACUGAUUGGGUGAGCAGUACGACGAGAGGUGGAUUAGGAGGAGCGCUUCCGUCUCCCUCGGCGAAGAAACGCGAAGGGUGCCGAUUUUGCCAGAGACGAGGAAGAGAAGAAGAAGAAGAAGAAAAAAAAGCAUUCACGGCUAAAUGCACAGACGAAAGACUCCUGUCAGUUACCCAUGAAUUCACUGAUGUGCUGCAGUGAUUAAAGUAGUUUUUGCGACCUUCUGGCUGAGCGGGAGGAAGCCUGCUCUGCGUGCUUAUGAAGCUGAACUGAAUGCCAUCAUUUCACCGCACAAAACGGGACAAGCGAUUUUGCAGGAGAAUUUGUUUUUGUGUUAUUCUGAAAGAGCAGGAAAAACGCUAUAGCUAUAUAUUAAUAAUAAAAAAAGAAAAAACAGCCAUUAUCCUGUCCACAGAAGCCAAUCUCUCUCUACUGCCUGUUCAGGCUAAAAGAGAGGCUGAAGCCACCCAGUGGCUCAGACAGAAAGGCAAAGUGCUGCUGUUAUCCAAAAAUCGUCCAUUAGUGGACCACCCCGACUCACAAGUGGACGCUGACGAGAGAAGAUGGGGAUUUAUAGUCAAUAAGUCACCUGAGCUCCGUGACUGGACGGUGCUGCGGGUGUUUAUGUCCCGCGCAGACACCUAAGGUCAACGCCAGCGCGGGUGUCGCUUCUCUCCUGCUGGUAAAUGAUCAGCUGGAGAUGAAGAUUGGUUCACCUGGAGCUCUGCGUUUCUGAUGUCCUUUAAAAAUAAAAUUAAAAAAUCCUGU